rnacentral:rRNA from 1 species
GAUGAACGCUGGCGGCGUGCCUAAUACAUGCAAGUCGAGCGAACGGACGAGAAGCUUGCCUUUCUGAUGUUAGCGGCGGACGGGUGAGUAACACGUGGAUAACCUACCUAUAAGACUGGGAUAACUUCGGGAAACCGGAGCUAAUACCGGAUAAUAUUUUGAACCGCAUGGUUCAAAAGUGAAAGACGGUCUUGCUGUCACUUAUAGAUGGAUCCGCGCUGCAUUAGCUAGUUGGUAAGGUAACGGCUUACCAAGGCAACGAUGCAUAGCCGACCUGAGAGGGUGAUCGGCCACACUGGAACUGAGACACGGUCCAGGCUCCUACGGGAGGCAGCAGUAGGGAAUCUUCCGCAAUGGGCGAAAGCCUGACGGAGCAACGCCGCGUGAGUGAUGAAGGUCUUCGGAUCGUAAAACUCUGUUAUUAGGGAAGAACAUAUGUGUAAGUAACUGUGCACAUCUUGACGGUACCUAAUCAGAAAGCCACGGCUAACUACGUG